rnacentral:pre_miRNA from 1 species
UCUUUUGAAUGGGCAGAGGAAGUGGUUUCUUGAGACGGAAUCUACUCCUGAUGAAGCUGCUGUGAA